ensembl:misc_RNA Y_RNA Y RNA
UGCUGGUCUGAGUGCAUUGGUGUUUACAACUAAUUGAUCACAACCGGUUACAGAUUUCUUUGUACCUUCUUCACUCCCACUGCUUCACUGACCAGCCUUAA